ACGUACACUCCUGCGGGAGGCAGCAGUAGGGAAUCUUCCACAAUGGGUGCAAACCUGAUGGAGCAAUGCCGCGUGAGUGAAGAAGGUCUUCGGAUCGUAAAGCUCUGUUGUUAGAGAAGAACACGUGCUAGGUAACUACUAGCGCCUUGACGGUAUCUAACCAGAAAGUCACGGCUAACUACGUGCCAGCAGCCGCGGUAAUACGUAGGUGACAAGCGUUGUCCGGAUUUAUUGGGCGUAAAGGGAGCGCAGGCGGUCUGUUUAGUCUAAUGUGAAAGCCCACGGCUUAACCGUGGAACGGCAUUGGAAACUGACAGACUUGAAUGUAGAAGAGGAAAAUGGAAUUCCAAGUGUAGCGGUGGAAUGCGUAGAUAUUUGGAGGAACACCAGUGGCGAAGGCGAUUUUCUGGUCUAACAUUGACGCUGAGGCUCGAAAGCGUGGGGAGCGAACAGGAUUAGAAACCCUGGUAGUCCC
rnacentral:rRNA from 1 species